rnacentral:rRNA from 1 species
AACGAACGCUGGCGGCAGGCUUAACACAUGCAAGUCGAGCGCCCCGCAAGGGGAGCGGCAGACGGGUGAGUAACGCGUGGGAAUCUACCCAUCUCUACGGAAUAACGCAUGGAAACGUGUGCUAAUACCGUAUACGUCCUUCGGGAGAAAGAUUUAUCGGAGAUGGAUGAGCCCGCGUUGGAUUAGCUAGUUGGUGGGGUAAAGGCCUACCAAGGCGACGAUCCAUAGCUGGUCUGAGAGGAUGAUCAGCCACACUGGGACUGAGACACGGCCCAGACUCCUAUGGGAGGCAGCAGUGGGGAAUAUUGGACAAUGGGCGCAAGCCUGAUCCAGCCAUGCCGCGUGAGUGAUGAAGGCCCUAGGGUUGUAAAGCUCUUUCACCGGUGAAGAUAAUGACGGUAACCAGAGAAGAAGCCCCGGCUAACUUCGUGCCAGCCGCCGCGGUAACAC